rnacentral:tRNA from 1 species
GAGGCUAUAGCUCAGUGGUAGAGUGCUUGUCUAGCAUGCAUGACAUUCUGGGUUUGAUCCCUAGCAUUA